AAGCAGUUGACUACCUAGUUCCAGAGGGGAUAAGAAUUAGCCUGACCGGCAGAGACACAUAUUGAAAUAAAGUGCUGUACAGAAGCUCAGUGCAUGGGCUUUGUGUUUUGCAAGAGCCAAUAUGACCUUCUAGGAGAUCUCUUUUACGGGAUGCUCAGCUAGUGUGAUGGAGUAAAUUAGCAAGAUUGCAGGAGAUCGGCCUAUCUAUUCUCUAUUCAUGUCCAAAACCCAAGGCUUGGUAAGCCUCAUACCGUGGAGCAUUGCCUGGGUGACCUGCGAGGUGAAUGGGAAUGUCUGCUGUGG